GCUAAAUGUAUAUUGGAAGAGGAUGCUCUGAUAGCCUGCUUGUUGUUAAUGUUUGCUCUUUCUUGGCUUUGGGAGAGGAAAAUCGACUUUGCAUGAUGGUUUGGUGCCCCUAGGGCAUAAGAGCUGGCUGCAUGUUUUGGCUGCCCCCUUGGCUAUAAGAAAGUGAGAUGCCGGUGGGCUCUGCCAUCCUUCUACCGUUGUCCAUCCUUGAGGUGCCAACGACUUACAAUUUUUCUAUCCAUUGUGGG
rnacentral:misc_RNA from 1 species